rnacentral:rRNA from 1 species
AUGGACCCGGCCGGCGCGGGGAAGGCGACGGCGGCGGCGGCUGUGUGCGUGACGGGCGCGGGAGGCUUCAUCGCCUCGUGGCUCGUCCGGCGCCUCCUCGCCGGAGGAGACUACGCGGUGCAUGGCACCGUUCGUGAUCCCAGCGACCCCAAGAAUGAUCACCUGAGGACGCUGAACGGCGCCGGCGAGCGGCUGCGGCUGUUCAAGGCCGACGUGCUGGACUACGCGAGCGUGGCGUCCGCCGUGGCCGGCUGUGCCGGCGUCUUCCACGUCGCAAGCCCCUGCCCCGCCGUCAAAUCCACGAACCCCGAGGUGGAGCUGCUUGCCCCGGCGGUGGCCGGCACGCUGAACGUGCUCCGGGCCUGCCGCGUGGCCGGCGUCCGCCGCGUCGUGGUGGUGUCGUCGGUCGGCGCGAUCUUCAUCAACCCCAACCCGCCCGAGGGCCCCACCAUGGACGAACACUGCUGGUCGGAUGAGGAGUACUGCAGGGCCACGGAGAACUGGUACUGCCUCUCCAAGACGCUGGCCGAGCGCGAGGCCUGGGCGUACGCAGAGAAGGCCGGGCUAGACGUGGUGACCGUGUGCCCGCCGCUGGUGUUCGGGCCUCUGCUGCAGCCCACGGUGAACACCAGCAGCUUGUUCCUCAUCAGAUACCUGAAAUGCGACGGCGUGGACGCCAUGGACGACCGGGUGAGGAACAUGGUGGACGUCAGGGACGUCGCCGACGCCCUUGUGCUGGCGUACGAGAGCCCGGAGGCGGCCGGCCGGUACAUCUGCAGCGCGCACGCCAGGAAGGUGUCCGAAAUGGUUUCCGUCAUCAGGAGCCUGCAUCCGAACCUCAACUGCGCAAAAAAGUUCGUUCAGCUGGUGGGAGAUGAGAAGGUGUUCAGCACAGAGAAGCUGCAAAGGCUGGGGUGGAAGUUCAGGACGUUGGAGGAGACGAUGAAGGACAGUGUCGAGUCCUACAUGUCUGCAGGCAUACUCAGCUGA